AUUGAACGCUGGCGGCAGGCCUAACACAUGCAAGUCGAACGAGUGGCGGACGGGUGAGUAAUGUCUGGGAAACUUCCCGAUGGCGGGGGAUAUCUCCUGUAAACGGUAGCUCAUACCGCAUACCCUCGGAUGUGCCCAGAUGGGAUUAGCUAGUAGGUGGGGUAACGGCUCACCUAGGCGACGAUCCCUAGCUGGUCUGAGAGGAUGACCAGCCACACUGGAACUGAGACACGGUCCAGACUCCUACGGGAGGCAGCAGUGGGGAAUAUUGCACAAUGGGCGAAAGCCUGAUGCAGCCAUGCCGCGUGUAUGAAGAAGGCCUUCGGGUUGUAAAGUACUUUCAGCGAGGAGGCGUUACUCGCAGAAGAAGCACCGGCUAACUCCGUGCCAGCAGCCGCGGUAAUAC
rnacentral:rRNA from 1 species